GACUUUGGGGCCACCGAGGGGACAUUGGGGCCACCGAGGGGACUUUGGGGCCACUGAGGGGACUUUGGGGCCACCGAGGGGACAUUGGGGCCACCGAGAGGACAUUGGGGCCACCGAGGGGACUUUGGGGCCACUGAGGGGACUUUGGGGCCACCGAGAGGACUUUGUGGCCACCGUGGCGGCCCCGGUGCCAGCCCCGUGCCCGUGCCCAGGUCCCUGGCCCGCUGUCCCUCCCUGGUGGCCCUGGAGCUCUCGGCCAAUCCCGGGAUCGGCGCCGGAUCCCUGCGGAUCCUUCUGGAAGCGCUGGAGAAGCGGAGCCGGGGUUUGGAAUUCCUGAGCCUGGCAGGAUGCGGAGUUCGGGAGCUGGAUGAAGCCACGUGGAGCCGGAGCACCGCGCAAAUCCGGGAUUUGCGGCUGCCCGGGAGGCGCCUCUGGAAGGGACCCUGAGGGGUAACUGGGAGCGACUGGUUUGGACUGGGAGGUUCCCAGUUUGAUCCAGGAGUUCCCAGUUUGAUCUAAUAAAUCCCAGUUUGAUCCAGGGGCUCCCAGUUUGAUCCAAUAAAUCCCAGUUGGAUUCAGCGGCUCUGGAAAAUCCAGGAUGGGAUUUGCGGCUCUCCCUGAGGGACUGGGAGGGACUGGUUUGGACUGGGAGGUUCCCAGUUUGAUCCAGGAGUUCCCAGUUUGAUCCAAGGGCUCCCAGUUGGAUCCAAUAAAUCCCAGUCGGAUCCAGCGGCUCCGGAAAAUCCAGGACGGGAUUUGCGGCUCUCCAAGCGCCACCUCUGGAAGAGCCCCUGAGGGGACUGGGAGGGACUGGUUUGAACUGGGAGGGACUGGGAGGUUCCCAGUUUGAUCCAGGAGUUCCCAGUUGGAUCCAAUAAAUCCCAGUUUGAUCCAGGAGCUCCCAGUUUGAUCCAAUAAAUCCCAGUUGGAUCCAGCGGGUCCGGAAAAUCCAGGACGGGAUUUGCGGCUCUCCGUGAGGGACUGGGAGGGACUGGUUUGAACUGGGAGGGACUGGGAGGUUCCCAGUUUGAUCCAGGAGUUCCCAGUUUGAUCCAGGGGCUCCCAGUUUGAUCCAACAAAUCCCAGUUGGAUCCAGCGGCUCCGGAAAAUCCGGGAUUUGCGGCUCUCCGUGAGGGACUGGGAGGGACUGGUUUAAACUGGGAGGGAAUGGGAGGUUCCCAGUUUGAUCCAGGAGUUCCCAGUUUGAUCCGGGGGCUCCCAGUUUGACCCAGCAGCUUCCAGUUCGAUCCAACAAAUCCCAGUUGGAUCCAGCGGCUCUGGAAAAUCUGGGAUUUGCGGCUCUCCCUGAGGGACUGGGAGGGACUGGUGUGAACUGGGAGGGACUGGUUUGAACUGGGAAUAGCUCCCAGUUUGAUCCAGUAAAUCCCAGUUUGAUCCAGGAUUUUGGUGAUUUUUGGGAUUCAGCGCUUCCCAUUUAUUAUCCCAAACUUCCAGCGCUCCCAGUCCAAACUGGUCUGAACUGGUUUGAACUGGUCUGGAUUGGUCUGGACUGGUCUGAACUGGUUUGAACUGGGAAUGGCUCCCAGUUUGAUCCAGUAAAUCCCAGUUUGAUCCAGGAUUUCGGUGAUUUUUGGGAUCCAGCGCUUCCCAUUUAUUAUCCCGAGGAUCCAAACUGGUCUGAACUGGUGUGAACUGGUGUGAACUGGUCUGAACUGGGAUUGGCUCCCAGUUUGA